rnacentral:rRNA from 1 species
AUUGAACGCUGGCGGCAGGCCUAACACAUGCAAGUCGAGCGGAUGAAGGGAGCUUGCUCCUGGAUUCAGCGGCGGACGGGUGAGUAAUGCCUAGGAAUCUGCCUGGUAGUGGGGGAUAACGUCCGGAAACGGGCGCUAAUACCGCCUACGUCCUGAGGGAGAAAGUGGGGGAUCUUCGGACCUCACGCUAUCAGAUGAGCCUAGGUCGGACUAGCUAGUUGGUGGGGUAAAGGCCUACCAAGGCGACGAUCCGUAACUGGUCUGAGAGGAUGAUCAGUCACACUGGAACUGAGACACGGUCCAGACUCCUACGGGAGGCAGCAGUGGGGAAUAUUGGACAAUGGGCGAAAGCCUGAUCCAGCCAUGCCGCGUGUGUGAAGAAGGUCUUCGGAUUGUAAAGCACUUUAAGUUGGGAGGAAGGGCAGUAAGUUAAUACCUUGCUGUUUUGACGUUACCAACAGAAUAAGCACCGGCUAACUUCGUG